GACGAACGCUGGCGGCGUGCUUAACACAUGCAAGUCGAACGGAAAGGCCCUGCUUGCAGGGUGCUCGAGUGGCGAACUGGUGAGUAACACGUGGGUGAUCUGCCCCUUACUUUGGGAUAAGCCUGGGAAACUGGGUCUAAUACUGGAUAGGACCAUGCUGUAGGUGGUGUGGUGGAAAGAUUAGUUUCGGUAAGGGAUGAGCUCGCGGCCUAUCAGCUUGUUGGUGGGGUAAUGGCCUACCAAGGCGUCGACGGGUAGCCGGCCUGAGAGGGUGGACGGCAACAUUGGGACUGAGACACGGCGCAGACUCCUACGGGAGGCAGCAGUGGGGAAUAGUGCACAAUGGGCGCAAGCCUGAUGCAGAGAAGCCGCGUGGGGGAUGACGGCCUUCGGGUUGUAAACUCCUUUCAGCCAUGACGAAGCCCUUGUGGUGACGGUAGUGGUAGAAGAAGCACCGGCUAACUACGUG
rnacentral:rRNA from 1 species